GGGCAAGAAGAGGGUGAUCACUGCUGGCAUGGGAUGGGCUGGGCUGGGAAGAUGUUGAUGGUCACCUCACAAACAGGGACAGAGACCAGGCUCAGCCACCAAGUGAGGUUUGAGUAGCAGCUGCCUGGAAAUGGGCUCAGGCAGGAUGGAUGUGGCUGUUCUGCAGUGUUGGGAGAGCUCUGCAGAGGAGAUGCUUCCAGAGGUUUCCUUGUUUACCUGGACUGGAGCGUACACAGUGGUGGCUCCAUUGAUGCCUUGUGAAGGCUGACCUAGAUCAGAGGCCAGACAGAGCUAAAGAAUAAAGCAGGGAUUUAUUAAAAGGCCUCAAUGGAUCCACCUUGGGCAGCACAAGAGCCCAGCCAGGACUGCACCCAAGAUGAACCAAGAUGGUCACAAAAUGCACCACCGCUCACGGGGUCUCUCACUUUUAUAAGUUCUGCUCCAUUUGCAUAUUGGAGUUAGUUGUCUAAUUACAGCUUUAGCUUAUGGAGUCCCAUCCUUCUUGUUUUCUCU